CAUGCAAGUCGAACGAGAAUCUACUGAAAGAGUUUUCGGACAAUGGAUGUAGAGGAAAGUGGCGGACGGGUGAGUAACGCGUGAGGAACCUGCCUUGAAGAGGGGGACAACAGUUGGAAACGACUGCUAAUACCGCAUGAUGCAUAGGGGUCGCAUGAUCUUUAUGCCAAAGAUUUAUCGCUUCAAGAUGGCCUCGCGUCUGAUUAGCUAGUUGGCGGGGUAACGGCCCACCAAGGCGACGAUCAGUAGCCGGACUGAGAGGUUGAACGGCCACAUUGGGACUGAGAUACGGCCCAGACUCCUACGGGAGGCAGCAGUGGGGAAUAUUGGGCAAUGGGCGCAAGCCUGACCCAGCAACGCCGCGUGAAGGAAGAAGGCUUUCGGGUUGUAAACUUCUUUUAAGAGGGAAGAGCAGAAGACGGUACCUCUAGAAUAAGCCACGGCUAACUACGUGCCAGCAGCCGCGGUAAUACGUAGGUGGCAAGCGUUGUCCGGAUUUACUGGGUGUAAAGGGCGUGCAGCCGGGUCUGCAAGUCAGAUGUGAAAUCCAUGGGCUCAACCCAUGAACUGCAUUUGAAACUGUA
rnacentral:rRNA from 1 species